UUUUGCAUGUAAGUACUGACUGGAUGGGUAGUAUUGACUGGACCUAAUGGGUAGUCAACAAUGGACUGUUGUGCUGCAGGAGGCUCUAAGUAUUGAGACUUAAACAAAGCCUAUCUCGUCCUGUCUAUCCUAAUCAUUGACAUUUAUGGUUGCAGUUAAUGAGUAAGUGCUUGUUCAUACUAGUUUAUAACUGUAAAUCUCUAUAUUGUCUCCACAUACUGAA